rnacentral:rRNA from 1 species
GCCUAUGGCCAUACCACCCUCACCAUGCCUGAUCUCCUCUGAUCUUGGAAGCUAAGCAGUGUCCAGUACCUGGGAAUACCAGGUGUUGUAUUGU